UGCCAGCAGCCGCGGUAAUACGUAGGUGGCAAGCGUUAUCCGGAAUUAUUGGGCGUAAAGAGCGCGCAGGUGGUUAAUUAAGUCUGAUGUGAAAGCCCGGGGCUCAACCCCGGAAGUGCAUUGGAAACUGGCGAACUUGAGUACGGGAGAGGAGAGUGGAAUUCCGAGUGUAGGGGUGAAAUCCGUAGAUAUUCGGAGGAACACCAGUGGCGAAGGCGGCUUUCUGGACCGAUACUGACGCUGAGACGCGAAAGCGUGGGGAGCAAACAGGAUUAGUAG
rnacentral:rRNA from 1 species